rnacentral:rRNA from 1 species
GACGAACGCUGGCGGCGUGCUUAACACAUGCAAGUCGAACGGAAAGGCCCUGCUUUUGUGGGGUGCUCGAGUGGCGAACGGGUGAGUAACACGUGAGUAACCUGCCCUUGACUUUGGGAUAACUUCAGGAGACUGGGGCUAAUACCGGAUAGGAGCUCCUGCUGCAUGGUGGGGGUUGGAAAGUUUCGGCGGUUGGGGAUGGACUCGCGGCUUAUCAGCUUGUUGGUGGGGUAGUGGCUUACCAAGGCUUUGACGGGUAGCCGGCCUGAGAGGGUGACCGGCCACAUUGGGACUGAGAUACGGCCCAGACUCCUACGGGAGGCAGCAGUGGGGAAUAUUGCACAAUGGGCGGAAGCCUGAUGCAGCAACGCCGCGUGCGGGAUGACGGCCUUCGGGUUGUAAACCGCUUUCGCCUGUGACGAAGCGUGAGUAACGGUAAUGGGUAAAGAAGCACCGGCUAGCUACGUG